GCCUGGUUAGCUCAAUCGGUAGAGCGUGAGACUCUUAAUCUCAAGGUCACGGGUUCGACCCCCGUAUCGGGCU